rnacentral:rRNA from 1 species
GGCUCAGAUUGAACGCUGGCGGCAGGCCUAACACAUGCAAGUCGAGCGGGGUUUUCGGACCUAGCGGCGGACGGGUGAGUAAUGCGUAGGAAGCUACCCGAUAGAGGGGGAUACCAGUUGGAAACGACUGUUAAUACCGCAUAAUGUCUACGGACCAAAAGUGUGGGACCUUCGGGCCACAUGCUAUCGGAUGCGCCUACGUGGGAUUAGCUAGUUGGUGAGGUAAUGGCUCACCAAGGCGACGAUCUCUAGCUGGUUUGAGAGGAUGAUCAGCCACACUGGAACUGAGACACGGUCCAGACUCCUACGGGAGGCAGCAGUGGGGAAUAUUGGACAAUGGGCGCAAGCCUGAUCCAGCCAUGCCGCGUGUGUGAAGAAGGCCUUCGGGUUGUAAAGCACUUUCAGCGAGGAGGAAGAGUUGUGUGUUAAUAGUACACAGCUUUGACGUUACUCGCAGAAGAAGCACCGGCUAACUCUGUG